GCUCAGGUUGUGCUUUUUUAACUUUCGAACCUGAUCUCCUGAACGCCAAAGGAUUUCCUCGCCUUUGGAUUCACUUCAACCGCAACGAAACUGCCGUCCGCCCCUCAAUUGGAUGCGGAGGGUUCAUCAUUGCCGCCCUCAGCACUCGCCGGGCAUUAUCUCCGCCCCACCAUCGCCCAACCCAGAACCACUGCGAUGGGUAUUGGGAGUGGUGGAGGAGGGGGGAGGGGGGCGGCAGACUGCGGAUCGAAUGGAGUUCCAAAGAUCCAAGACCGUUCGUUCGGCCAGGCUGCCUCGAGAUUGAGUCAAAGAUACGGUGGGGC
ensembl:ncRNA lncRNA:CR44722 long non-coding RNA:CR44722